UGCUCAUUCGACAGCCGUCGUUUSUUGAUCUCUUAUUUACUWGRUAACUGUGUAAUCUAGAGUWAUACACGCACCAAAGCUCCGCCUUACGGACGAGCGCAUUAUUAGAACAAACCAAUCGGGUCCGGCCCGUUCGUGGUGACUCGAAUARCUACGCCGAUCGCACGGUCUCGAACCGGCGACGCAUCUUUCAAGUGUCUGCCUUAUCAACUUUCGAUGGUAGUUUAUGUGCCUACCAUGGUUGUAACGGGUAACGGAGAAUAAGGGUUCGACUCCGGAGAGGGAGCCUGAGAAACGGCUACCACAUCCAAGGAAGGCAGCAGGCGCGCAAAUUACCCACUCUCGGCACGAGGAGGUAGUGACGAAAAAUAACGAGACGGAUCUCUUUGAGGCCCGUUAUCGGAAUGAGAACAAUUCAAAUCCUUUAACGAGGAUCUAGCGGAGGGCAAGUCUGGUGCCAGCAGCCGCGGUAAUUCCAGCUCCGCAGGUGUAUAUCUAUGCUGCUGCGGUUAAAAAGCUCGUAGUUGGAUCUGCGUGCUCGGAACCGGUUGGCUCACUGAGUCCAAACUGGUCUCCGGCGCUUUAUCGGCUGGUUUUCCCUUGAUGCUCUUAACCGGGUGUCUUGGGUGGCUAGCACGUUUACUUUGAAAAAAUUAGAGUGCUCAAUACAGGCGCAAAGCCUUGAAUAGUGGUGCAUGGAAUAAUGGAAUAGGACCUCGGUUCUAUUUUGUUGGUUUUCGGAACACGAGGUAAUGAUUAAGAGGGACAGACGGGGGCAUUCGUAUUGCGACGUUAGAGGUGAAAUUCUUGGAUCGUCGCAAGACGGACGACUGCGAAAGCAUUUGCCAA
rnacentral:rRNA from 1 species